rnacentral:rRNA from 1 species
UACGUAGGGUGCAAGCGUUAAUCGGAAUUACUGGGCGUAAAGCGUGUGUAGGCGGCUUUGCAAGUCGGAUGUGAAAGCCCCGGGCUCAACCCGGGAAGUGCACUCGAUACUGCAGAGCUUGAGUGUCGGAGAGGUUGGUGGAAUUCUCGGUGUAGAGGUGAAAUUCGUAGAUAUCGGGAGGAACACCAGUGGCGAAGGCGACUACCUGGCCUGUUCUUGACGCUGAGGCGCGAAAGCUAGGGGAGCAAACGGG